GGACAUUUGAGAAGGUGUCCUAUCAAAUUAGUAAACCAAAGGAAAAGUACUGAAUAGAUUAAUCCAAAACACUUACUGUUUUUUAAACGAAGAGGAUUUCACCUUGACAGAAAAACAACUUUUAUUCAAUAUGUAUUUCCUGAAAUUAAAGAGACAAGAACAGACUGAAAGGAAAAUAGAUUCGUAAAUAAGCUACGUCAACUCUAUCCUGCUGAGGAUAGCUCAGUGAUGUUAAAUCCUUUACAAAUCCCUGGUUGUCUUCCUACAGACAAGACUGCUUUUUGAUGGGACUGAUAUUAAGAGAAAUAGGACCUUUGGGGCAUUCAACUCCUUGAUAAAACUUACAAGUAUCGGCAUGAGUGGCUUAAAAGAGGAAAUAAAGAAGUUUUCAACUAAAUCCAAAAGUGCAGUCAUUUUCUUUACUGCUGUUAUUUUAAAAACCUCUUCAUAAGCAUUGAAAAAGAAUCGACAACUAUUUUAAAAGAUUAAAGAAAGGCAGAUGUCUGCAAAUAAUUCCCCUCCAUCAGCCCAGAAGUCUGUAUUACCCACAGCUAUUCCUGCUGUGCUUCCAGCUGCUUCUCCGUGUUCAAGUCCUAAGACGGGACUCUCUGCCCGACUCUCUAAUGGAAGCUUCAGUGCACCAUCACUCACCAACUCCAGAGGCUCAGUGCAUACAGUUUCAUUUCUACUGCAAAUUGGCCUCACACGGGAGAGUGUUACCAUUGAAGCCCAGGAACUGUCUUUAUCUGCUGUCAAGGAUCUUGUGUGCUCCAUAGUUUAUCAAAAGUUUCCAGAGUGUGGAUUCUUUGGCAUGUAUGACAAAAUUCUUCUCUUUCGCCAUGACAUGAACUCAGAAAACAUUUUGCAGCUGAUUACCUCAGCAGAUGAAAUACAUGAAGGAGACCUAGUGGAAGUGGUUCUUUCAGCUUUAGCCACAGUAGAAGACUUCCAGAUUCGUCCACAUACUCUCUAUGUACAUUCUUACAAAGCUCCUACUUUCUGUGAUUACUGUGGUGAGAUGCUCUGGGGAUUGGUACGUCAAGGACUGAAAUGUGAAGGCUGUGGAUUAAAUUACCAUAAACGAUGUGCCUUCAAGAUUCCAAAUAACUGUAGUGGAGUAAGAAAGAGACGUCUGUCAAAUGUAUCUUUACCAGGACCCGGCCUCUCAGUUCCAAGACCCCUACAGCCUGAAUAUGUAGCCCUUCCCAGUGAAGAGUCACAUGUCCACCAGGAACCAAGUAAGAGAAUUCCUUCUUGGAGUGGUCGCCCAAUCUGGAUGGAAAAGAUGGUAAUGUGCAGAGUGAAAGUUCCACACACAUUUGCUGUUCACUCUUACACCCGUCCCACGAUAUGUCAGUACUGCAAGCGGUUACUGAAAGGCCUCUUUCGCCAAGGAAUGCAGUGUAAAGAUUGCAAAUUCAACUGCCAUAAACGCUGUGCAUCAAAAGUACCAAGAGACUGCCUUGGAGAGGUUACUUUCAAUGGAGAACCUUCCAGUCUGGGAACAGAUACAGAUAUACCAAUGGAUAUUGACAAUAAUGACAUAAAUAGUGAUAGUAGUCGGGGUUUGGAUGACACAGAAGAGCCAUCACCCCCAGAAGAUAAGAUGUUCUUCUUGGAUCCAUCUGAUCUCGAUGUGGAAAGAGAUGAAGAAGCCGUUAAAACAAUCAGUCCAUCAACAAGCAAUAAUAUUCCGCUAAUGAGGGUUGUACAAUCCAUCAAGCACACAAAGAGGAAGAGCAGCACAAUGGUGAAGGAAGGGUGGAUGGUCCAUUACACCAGCAGGGAUAACCUGAGAAAGAGGCAUUAUUGGAGACUUGACAGCAAAUGUCUAACAUUAUUUCAGAAUGAAUCUGGAUCAAAGUAUUAUAAGGAAAUUCCACUUUCAGAAAUUCUCCGCAUAUCUUCACCACGAGAUUUCACAAACAUUUCACAAGGCAGCAAUCCACACUGUUUUGAAAUCAUUACUGAUACUAUGGUAUACUUCGUUGGUGAGAACAAUGGGGACAGCUCUCAUAAUCCUGUUCUUGCUGCCACUGGAGUUGGACUUGAUGUAGCACAGAGCUGGGAAAAAGCAAUUCGCCAAGCCCUCAUGCCUGUUACUCCUCAAGCAAGUGUUUGCACUUCUCCAGGGCAAGGGAAAGAUCACAAAGAUUUGUCUACAAGUAUCUCUGUAUCUAAUUGUCAGAUUCAGGAGAAUGUGGAUAUCAGUACUGUUUACCAGAUCUUUGCAGAUGAGGUGCUUGGUUCAGGCCAGUUUGGCAUCGUUUAUGGAGGUAAGCAACUACAGCCGUUUGCAUAUUGUACACAUUAUUUUAAAAACUGGAAAAUGUAAAACAUCUGACAGCUGUUUUGUCAUCUCAUAGUUUUGUCCAGUGCCCUUUUUUUAAAGGCUGACUUGUUAUCUUUCAGCUAAAUCCUUCUCACUGUAAUUUGAGUAUUCUUCCCUUAAUGUCAUUGCAAACUUUAAAAAUUAACAGAAUCAGAAAAUUUUACAGUAUGUUUUAUCUCUUCUUGUAGCUCACACAUACAGAUGUUUGUCGGAGGCAGGGGGGAGAUGGUUUGAAGUUUAUGUUGGGCUGAGUGGGCUUAUUCAUUGAAGUAUAUUCCCUACUAGUUUUCCAACACAAAUGGCACCAUUUGUCUACUGUUGGCAUGAUUGUUCUAUUAAGUCUGAAAACCUGAACCUGAAAUCCAACUUUGCGAUUUAGGAUAUUGAUGAAGUCAUUUAACCUUACUGUGCGUUAGCAUCUUCAACUGUUUAAUGGAACUAAUAAAACCUGACCUGUGUAGCUCAUAGGGCUUAAAUAUUAAUUAAACUUAAUAUAUGUAAAGGUACUAAGAAAGAAAUGUUAAACCCUUGUUAUCCCUUGCUAAGACUUGGUACAGUAGUUUCCUAGUUGGCUGUUCUGCCUCCAUUCUUACCUUCUUUUCAUACAACUCUUGGAGUGAAUCUUUCAGAAAAUUCACAUCUGAUAUUAGUAUUACCUCACAUAGAACCCUUAAGUGGUUCACAGUCAUCUACAGAUUCAUAGCCAGUUUUCUUAGCAGAGGAUUUCAAGGCUGCUGUGAUUUAUCCCUGCUUCUCUAGCCUCAGAUCUAAUUGCAGCUUCCUCUUUGCUUUCUAUCUUUCAGUCCUAUUUACAUGCCUCCAUACCCUUUGCCUCUCUGCUCCUUCUCCAUCCCUUUGUCUCUUCUAGUGCACAUUUUUUCAUACUUCAGGGCUCAACUAAAGGGCUUCCUCUGUGGAAAUUUCUUGUCCCCAUACCUAUUUCUCCAUCAAAUAAAAACAUUGUUCCCCUUUGGUACUCCUGCUACCCAACAUACUUCUAUCACAAUAUCUAUUACCCUUUGGGUUUACAUUAUUGUCUUCCCACUGAACUUUAUUGGAGCGUUGGCUGUGAGAUGUCUGGAUCUUCUUUGUAUUCCUAGCACCUAGUAUUGUGACAUAAAGCAGUCGCCUAGAAAAUGUGUUGACUCUGCAUGCAUAUAUAAUAUCUAUGGUUUGCAACUUCAGAUUUGUCAGUUUUAAGAGUAGUUACAUCUCUGGAGGACUUCCUGUCAUCAGAGGAACAAAGAACUGUCCGAGGUACCUUUGGCUUCUUACCAAAAAUGCACACAUUUGUUCAGUCUUUUCAAGUAGACUUACGAUUGUGCCAUUGAGACAAAUGAGUUAAUCUAAAAUAAAUAGCUGUGUAGAGAAGAGCAAGUCAGAUACAUAUUUGAAGAACAAAUACCAAAAAUAUACCUGUCAUUUUCACUGCUUAAUCUGUAGUAUCUAAAGGCAUACCUAGUACAUAAUAGGUAUAACUAGUUAAUUUGAAUUAAUAAAUGAGGGAAUGACUGUUCAUUAUAAUAAACUUCUACCUUUUUUUAAUAUCUAGAUUCUAGAAUAUAGAGACAAAUAUAAAUUUUUUAUAUCUAGAUUCUAGAAUAUAGAGACACCCAGAGUUUGUGGGUACAUGGUUAAAUCACUCUGUGCUGACUCAUUGAAUCUAGAAUAAAAUUGAUUCAUUCAUACAGUAUUUCCAUCUUGACAGAGUCUCUGAAGGACUAGGUCAGGGUAAUUAACUAUCAUUGAUUUAACAAGGUAGAUUACUUUUCAGCAACAAGUUCAUUCAAAUUUUCUCCUGUUUAGAUAAUGCAGCUGACUUUAUUAGGGGCAAAUAUUAUGUAUGGAGGGGAAAACAAUUUUUUCCUAAAUUAAAGGUGAGUGAAGGAGUGUGGAGAAAGAACAAAAAUGAGCCAAAAAGAAAACUCAAGAGUAAAUACAUAUAAAUUUCAGUUUGUGGACAACUCCCUAAUAAAGCUGUCAGUUUGCUUCA
rnacentral:sRNA from 1 species